AUGAAUUAGCCAUUUCAAUUACUUUUCGAAUUUCAAUUUCAUUUCCAAUUAGUAUUAGUAUUUCAGUUACAAUUACUAAAUCUGUGAACGCUGGAUAAGACAAUGUUCCACGCACUUUUUAAAAUCCAUAGUAAACGAAGAAGUGGUGUGUUUUUAGCUCUGAGGGACCUAACUAUAAUAAAGAGACAUGUUCAAACAGAUGAAAUGUGCGCAGUGGCUUUGAGAUCACAUGCCAUGCACCAGACCGGUUUUACAUGUUGAUUAAAAAUAAACUUGCCUGGGGCGUAACGUAACCUCUCAUCGGAGCAUGAAACAAACACGUAUAGGACACACUAUUACAGAAUAUUGUUUAAAGCUGAAGUGAAUAUGAACGCAUGUAGAUGGACGGGCUUCGGGUGAGCUGAAGGACAUUCAGAGACGAUGGCUGACAGAGAAGGCAGAUCGGGUGAUCGGAGGACCAGGGAAAGACGUGAAAGGAGCCAGAGCAUGGGAGAACGUCCCAUGAUGGACAGUAGUGCAGAUUUGGAUAGCCCUGACAGUAAGUAAAAGAAGUGUGAUAUUUUUAUAUUUUUAAUGAGCUGUGAGUGACGCCUGCUAAUACAUAAAUUUAGAUAUUAGAAGUAUUUAGACAUUUUUGAUGAGCUCUAAUGUCACAUGGACU